rnacentral:rRNA from 1 species
CUAGCUGUAAACGAUGGAUACUAGGCGUUGAGGGUAUCGACCCUCUCAGUGUCGUAGCUAACGCGUUAAGUAUCCCGCCUGGGGAGUACGCGCGCAAGCGUGAAACUCAAAGGAAUUGACGGGGGCCCGCACAAGCGGUGGAGUAUGUGGUUUAAUUCGAUGCAACGCGAAGAACCUUACCAGGGCUUGACAUGUCCGGAACCCUGCCCAAAGGCGGGGGUGCCUACGGGAACCGGAACACAGGUGGUGC